GAGAAAAAAAAACAAAUAAUUAAAAGAUAAAAAAAAGAUAUAAUUGAAAGGGGAUUAUGGUUUUCAGAAUUGUGACCUUUGACCUUAUUCAAGGAACUCUCUUCUUCCCCUCUCGAUAGACUCGGAGGCGCCGAUGACUCUCUCAAGCUCUUUCUCCGGCAACGCAAGAACACGACACCGCCACGAAUCGGACUAAGAGCAUCUCUCCCUCUCGUUUCUCAUACUCGAUCUCUUAUUGCCAUAAUCAAAUCGUUUCUCUUCGAUUCAACACAACAUAACAGAAUCCCCAAUCGGAGGAGAGGCCACAGUCAGCUCGGGUGCGAAGUAAACACGGAGAACGGCGAAGGAAGCCCCGAUUUCAGGUAAUACCACAAAUUCCUCUUCUUCUUGUAAUGCUUCUUCUUCUAUCUUCUUUUAGUUUUUUUUCUGAAAUUUCUUCUUCCCUUUUUUGCUUUUCUGCGUACCGGCGUGCUCUGUAUGCGUUGAGAGUUAAGGCGAUAUUGAAGAGAUGAUGAUGAAUAUUGAAGGAUGAAGGUGGAUGAUGAAUGACUGAGAAUGAUGCAGUGAUGAAGAUGAUGGUGUGUAGGUGAUGAGAAGUGAGUUUGUUGAGGAUGAAAGGUGGAGAGUGAAGUGAAGAGAGUAUUGGAAGGUUGAUGAAUAGAGAGAGAGAACAAAAAUGGUGGGGAUUGAAGAUGUGUGAAAGUGGUGAAGAAGAUGGUGGUGGUGAUGAAGAGAUUGGAGAAGAGUGAAGGAUUGGUGAAGUUGAUGAAAAAUGGGGAGAGCUGAAAGAAUGGAUCGAGGCUCUGAUUUAUAGAGAUUCUUCAGAUGACAACAUGCAUUGUUUACCGGCAACUUGCUGCAGCUUUAACUUGAAUCAGAUUCGUCCUCAGAUUUUCCGGGAAAGAAGGCUUUGAGAAGACCUCGAAUCAGAAUUGGCACGAAAUCCUUAUACCGUUGUGGAGCUGAGAGCAUAUCUAGACAACUGCAUGUUUAUCAGAACUUGGCAACAGGCUGUUUGAUGUAAUCUUUUUUGUAAUUUCUUUUUGUGAUGUAUUUGUAAUGAAUGAGACUUGUAGUGACUUUUGGUAUAGGAUUUAUAAUGGACUGAAUUUUGAAUCUUUGUAAUGGAAACGGUUUUUUGCAAUGAA